rnacentral:lncRNA from 1 species
GUUGGAUAUCACCUGUUAUUUACAUUAGGCUGACAGAGUGUGAUUGUCUGCUGUGAGGUGUGGCAAAGCAAGUCAGCCUUAUCAGGGCUAAUAAAGGGACUACCUUGGUUUUAUGUAGUCAACAUGAGCAGGAUUCAAAACAAACAAAUGUUUUCUAGAACUGAACAUGCAUUGGAAGCACUUUUUAUUUUGAAUUGUUUUCUCAUAUACACAGUCAUACAACAAUAUGGAGUACACCAAUGUUAAUACACCACAUGUUAAAACAUUCUCGAUUGGUCAUAUCAGUGUUGUGUUUAUCCACAAUUUUCUGCUAGAUUGCUAAGGACUGUUUGCGUGAUAGAAUUGUACUAUAAAGCUGUGAGAAACGCUGAGCAGUGAAAAAGGUUUCCUGGUCCCAGAUGAGUCCAUGUCACCCAAGAAUUUUCUCUAGUCAGAGUCACUGCUACUGGAGCUGCUCGAGGACUGUACAAGAGUGGCAGUAACAGAGACAAAGAGACAAUUAGUCAAAUAUAAACCCAAUGUGAGCUCAUGCCUUUAUUUCUGUGAUAUCAAGCAAUACAAGAAUCUUACCCCUUUCUUGUGACAAUGGCCAUGCUUAUGACCAUCCUUAUGCUUGUGCUUGUCCUUGUGCCCCUGUCCAUGGCACUGUCCAUGCCCCUGUCCAUGGCACUGUCCAUGCCCCUGUCCAUGGCAUUGCCCUUGUCCUUGUCCAUGGCAUUGACCGGGCCCAGGUCCAUGUCCAUGGAGGCCUCCUUGUGGGCCAUGGGGCUGAGGAGGACAGGUUGGUGGAUGUGCAGCGCCUGGAGGAUACUGUGGGUAACCACCCGGCAUCUGCGGAGGUUGGUUUGGGUACCCUGAGGGAUAUGGGUUUCCUACACAUGAGGAGAAAAAUCAACAUAACGUCAACCUAAUUUUCAAUGUACAGUAAAGAAACAUUUUGAAUACUUUAUUUGAGAGGCUAUGUUUACCUUGGUUGUUUCCGUACAUUUUGAAAAAGCAGAUGUAAUCUAGAUUGUAAAAGUAAAUAAAUGAGUUAAAACUUUCCA